CCUACGGGUGGCAGCAGUAGGGAAUCUUCCACAAUGGGCGAAAGCCUGAUGGAGCAACGCCGCGUGGGUGAAGAAUGUCUUCGGAUCGUAAAACCCUGUUUUUAGAGAAGUAAGUGCGUGAGAGUAACUGUUCACGUUUCUACGGUAUCUAACCAGAAAGCCACGACUAACUACGUCCCAGCAGCCGCUGUAAUACGUAGGUGGCAAGCGUUAUCCGGAGUUAUUGGGCGUAAAGGUAACGCAGACGGUCUUUUAAGUCUGAUGUGAAAGUCUUCGGAGUAACCGGAAUAGUGCAUUGGACACUGGGAGACUUGAGUGCAGAUGAGGAGGGUGGAAUUCGAUGUGUAGCGGUGAAAUGCGUAGAUAUAUGGAAGAACACCAGUGGCGAAAGCAGCUCUCUGGUCUGUAACUGACAUUGAGGUUCGAAAGCGUGGGUAGCAAACAGGAUUAGAUACCCGUGUAGUC
rnacentral:rRNA from 1 species